rnacentral:lncRNA from 1 species
UCCCUGUCGAGCUCAAUCAGGCUUUCGCAAGCUAUAGUCAAGUACACUGGAUCCAACUGGUCUAACAACCAACGAAUCACGUGCCCUCGGCACAAUCUGAUGCCAAAACGGCAAUCUGAGUCCACCGUCAAUCCCGACGGCCCCCAACAGUCCGGAACAGUCUGAACACUACUGUAAAAUAGGCUCGGGAUCCCAGCACGAGCGUAACAGCAAUCUACAUUACCUGGGAUAUCCACCACGUUGAUACUGCGGCGAUACAAAAUAACAACGGCUCCUAGAGCUAAAUCUGGUAGUGUAA